ensembl:lncRNA
GAAUAUGUGGACAAUUCCAUGUUCAAGUCCAUGCACAUGAGUGCUUUGUCCUAGUUGUUGAUCUGGCAUCUGUGUGAAAAGUGUGAGUCACAAAGGCUGUGGGGCUUUGGCAGAACACAGUAUUGUGUGGUUCAUAUGGUCGGGCUUAUUUACCAAUAAAGCUAGUUUGCAUUUCUGUCCCCUUUCCUGGUUGCACAAAGGUAAUUUUCAGGGUUUCAGUUUCGAGUUCCAGAAGGGGAGCAGUGAGCAUGCGGAAACAAUUUCUUUUUACAGUGAUGUGAGCUCUGUGCUCAUCUGGACUUUGUUACUUCCUAAGAUUACUCACGUGGAACUGAACCAGAGAACCUGAUCUAGGUGACACUGAAGUUGUGUUUUGGGAUAUCGGAGAUCUGUCUCAGUCACUUUCCCAUCACCGGGACAAAGUACCCAACACCCACAGCCUAAAGGAACAGAGGUUUAUUUUUCCUCAGAAGUUUCAGCUCAUGGUCAGCCAGCACCGAGGCAAGUGGCAGGACCAGGGUAGAAGAAAGCUGCCUGCGUCGUAAUGGGUGAAUCUGCAAAUGAGGACAGCGCUCCAUGACCCGGCCCCCUCCUGGAGCCCCACUACUGAGCAUAUGCGAGUGUGGGGCAAACCACUACAAGACAGCAAUGAACGUCGGGCAGAAAUGAAUAGCACAGCUGCUGGCCAUGUAAGCCAAAUUCAGAAGUAUCAUUUUUCUCCUCCGACCUCCACCUCAUAACGCUCUGCUGACCUUCCAAAUCAUCAGGGAGUUGGUUUCUCUUCUGGUAGCAGGUACUGAUGGCCUCCUACCCAGCAAACUUUCCCUCUGCCUUUGCUCUUGCUGAGAAAACUUCAGUUUUGUUCCCGUGUCUACAAGAUGCUGGAAAGCUGUGUGCCUGAGGGAACCUGGCGUCUGCCCCAAAGGGAUAAUAAGGACGGGUCCUCCCAGUGGAACGAGAUCCUUGCCAACUUGCCCAUGUGAGCCUGAAAAUGUGAUACAUGAAUCGUAAAGCCUUAAUGUAUUGAGGACUGCAGAUAAGUACGUGUCCGUGUGGUGUAGUUCGAAGUUUAAGCUGAAGGAGGAACACAGUGAUUAUAGAUCACAGCUGUGACCCUGCAGAGAGUCUUGGGUAUCCAGAGUCAUGUUUGGAGAAAACAGACCGCAUGAGCUGAAGAGAGAACAAAUGCGAGUGUUUCCGGGUUUAUGGUGAUUAUGUAAGUAGCUCACUUAUUUAUGAAACAGGUGCCUAGAGAGACCUGCUGCAUGGCAGGCACCGUCCCACAUCGACGAAGACAGGGUCUCCCUCCUGGGUGAGUGUCCAUAUUCAGUCUAAUAUGCCUUAGGUCACAAAAGACAGAAAGGGAAGAGACAUGGAAGCCCUGGAGCAGGAGCACUUCCACAUAUCCUUCUGAUGCCCAUUCACAACCUCUCAAAAUGUGCUUUAAACCAGUUCUACUGAAACUUAUAUUGUUUUCAUUAACUAGGUGAGUAAUUUGUUAUGGAUAUGGCAAAUAAAUCAUAUGUUUUAAGUUUUAUGAAGUAUAAUAUCAUGUACUAAAAAUGCGUCCUGGGAGAUUUGGGAUGCAGAUUAAAAGCGAGAGCCUCAGGGCUUUCCAAGGGACCCUUCUUUAUGGGUUGGUGUGGUGGGAAGGAUAUAGGCUUUGAUCUACAUCCAAGUACUUGCAUUUAUUAAUUAAAUUAGCAGAAGGAAGUUACUCGAUUUUCCUCAGUUUCGUUAUUCUUAUCUAUAAAAUAGAGCUAAAAAUAAUAUCUGCCUCAUGAUGCUGUGACAAUCAAUUGAACUAAUACAUGUGAAAGCACUCUGUAAGAUUUGAAGUCCAAUAAAAAAUUACUUUUUAGAGUAAGUGCACAACAAUGUUCAUUCAUCAACAUAGAAACAAUAGUUGGCUAUAUUUAUAGUACCACUCUUCCAGAUAGAAAUACUUGUAAGGUACCUAACUGUAAAUGACUAAUAUUAAGUGUUGGUGGUUAAUGUAACCAUAAGGCUAGUUCACACUUUGAAGUAAGAAUUAUUAGAUUUCAUGGAAAGAAAACUCAAUUUCUUUUCAGGGGGUUAUCAAAUGUUUAAAAUUUGUAUAAAACUGGAUUAAUAAACCAAGCAAGGCAAACUGAAGGAGAAUCCACUGUGACAUGACAAGUUUCAGGCUAGCAAUGAACUCUCACUUCCCAGAACCCUAAAGAUCACGGAAACUGUCUGAACGUCUGCUCUCCGCUGCAGUCACCCAGGGAGCCUCAAAAGAGCCUGCUGACUGAGUCUCCCCCAGAAAUUGUGCUGUUAUCGGUCUGAAAGGAAGCCCUAGUCAUUGUGAUUUAAAAAAAAAAAAAAUACCCCAGAUGAUUAUACUAUGGAACCAAAACUGGAUCAUUGAUGUGGUCUCAACAUUUGCCGGUCUCUACCGACUGGAAGACAUAAAUGCGUAACUUUUUGGUACUAUUUUUCCAGGGACAGAGAGAUCACCUUUUACUUAAGGACGCAUAGAAGGGAGCAAGAAGGCUGGAAGAAGAUAUAAAAGAAUCUCACCAGCAUCUGAAUAUCCUCACCUUCCUCGCUUGAGGGUGUAUGUUUUGUGCACUCGAUUUCUGGAUAGUUUGAACUGCAGAAUGGGAGGAAUGGGUAAGAAGAAAGAAAAACUGAUGAACAAGAAGGAUGCAGGAGAAGGAGGUUGUUUAGGACAACUCAUGGUAGCUAAACCUUGGAAGCAGGCUCUAUGGCCACCAACAGAUGAACAACAGUACUACUCUGUCACAAAGAAGGAUGAACUUGAGUAAUUGAUGCUCCGAAUCUAUGCUUGAUGAUCACCAUGAAGAGAAAUCUUCCCCAAACCUAAUGACACACUGGCUGAGGUGGCCCGUGUGGAAACCCUUCAGCUAAUCAGCAAGACUUAAGGCGUAUUCUUCUUCUGGUGGCAGUAAGACAGAAAAGAUGCAGACAACAAACCAUAAUUAAGGAAUAAUCCCUGCCUACAUCGGUUUCACCCUGCAGUCAGAGGAUCAAAGCAGAAGAACUACAUCUGAAGGCUACAGAGCUGCCUAGUCCUGGCAUGAGAGAAUGGUUGUGUUUGUUUGGGUCAGAUUUUAGUGGUCAGGAAAGCGAAGGCGUGUUGCAUAACAACAACAAAAAAAGUGUUAGGUGAAAUGUAAAAACCAAAACUCUGAGGUAGAGAGACUGUGGGAAUCAUUGGACACGUAAGUUGCUGUUGUGCCUUCCUUAUUACACAUGGACUUUCUGCUUCUGGAAUCAGAUCCAAUGGGAAUCAUAAACAUCCUGACGAAUAUAAAACAUCAGAAAGCACAGGAGUGCUUUAAACAUGAUAACGCAUUUGGGAUCAUGAUGUCAAAAGUUUUCGCGGUCUUUCUCUGUGCCAGGAUGUGUUCUAAGCACAUUAUCCCACUUACUCUUCGAUUCUAUCAAUUAGGUGCUACUAUUCCCACAUCCCAGAUGGGGGAAAGGAGUCACAGAGCAGUUUAAUAAUUCAUCCAAAGCAAAGCUAGGGCUUAAAACUCAGUGACACACAAGCUCUUCACAAGUUCUCCAUGCUGGAAUGGUGUCAAACGUCUAGAAUCGUCUUUUGGGAAGUUAUUCAAUGGCAUGAAAGAGUAUUAAAAACUUCCAAGCAGUGGUGAAUCUGUAUGGGAAGUAUGUUUCCAAGGUGAAGAUAUGCAGAUAAAGGGACGGAGAGAAUGCCCACCUGGGAGGGAGAGGGGGUGCUGGGGGUGA